GAUGAAGAAUGCAGCGAAAUGCGAUAAGUAAUGUGAAUUGCAGAAUUCAGUGAAUCAUCGAAUCUUUGAACGCACAUUGCGCCCGCCAGUAUUCUGGCGGGCAUGCCUGUUCGAGCGUCAUUACAACCCUCAGGCCCCCGGGCCUGGCGUUGGGGAUCGGCGGAGCCCCCCGUGGGCACACGCCGUCCCCCAAAUACAGUGGCGGUCCCGCCGCAGCUUCCAUCGCGUAGUAGCUAACACCUCGCGACUGGAGAGCGGCGCGGCCACGCCGUAAAACACCCAACUCUUCUGAAGUUGACCUCGAAUCAGGUAGGAAUACCCGCUGAACUUAAGCAUAUCAAUAAGCGGAGGA
rnacentral:misc_RNA from 1 species